CAAAGUGUAGCUUAAUUAUUAAAGCACCCGGCUUACACCCGGAAGAUUUCUAACACAUGACCACUUUGA
rnacentral:tRNA from 1 species